ACUCCGCGGCCCGCCAGGACCCGGCCCCGGUGAACGGGCUCGGGGUGCCGAGGUCCGGCUGCGGGGCCGGGAAGCCACCUCCACCUUGCCGUCUGUUACGACCCCCGAGGCGCAAGGCUGAGCCCCAUCUCGCUAUCCGGGUCCGGAGGGGUUCACCUUAGAAGGAUUUUUUGAAGCUCUUGGCGCUGGCUCUAAAAGAACCCACUUCCUUGCGGAUUUCAGGAGUCAAGAAUCCUUAAACGGAGCCAAUUUGCUUUGUAAAGCCAAUUGCCCAAGUGACUUGAGUUCGAAAGGAGAUACUUCCUGGACAACUGCUAUAAAAACAACAACAAAUACUUUUAUUAAUUCGGGGAGCCUGGUCACCAACUGGAUGCUCAGGGGAGAUGGAACCCUGAGCAGCCCAUGUACAUGGAAGAUCUUUAUUGCAGAGAUCUUCAAACCAGAUGGCUCGCAGAGAUUGAGGAACUUGCCCAAGGCUACGCAGCUUGAUCUUCUAAGGGUGUGAGGAUACAGGCGUCAAAGACCCCGUGCUGAGACAGCUCCAUAACAACAUGCAGAUAUUUGGCAAUGAGGGUUCAGAAGAGGACUUGCUGUGGAGAAGAGAGAAAAGAGAUGGGAAGACUCUGUGAAUGAAUAGAGAACACUCUGCAAGCAUCCCAGUUCCUUUGGUUGCCCUGCAGUCUGCAGGUACCAGGAGAA
rnacentral:lncRNA from 1 species